rnacentral:snoRNA from 1 species
UCUGAGAUUAUGAUGAAUCUAAUUUGCGACUGAUAUUAUAUUGAUGUUUAUUCACCUUGGAGAACUGAUUCUCAGA